GCAUGAUCCCCAAAAGUAACUCCAACCUUUCUGGAAGAGAAUGACAGACCUCUCUGGUUUCCAGUUAUUUCAAGGACAACAAACUCAAAAUCUAUCUUGUUUUUGGAUGUAGAAAAGAGACUCCUUUUAAUAAAAGUUUACAUUGUGUUGCUUGGCCGUUUGUGUUUUGGGUGCUUGUAUCCAGUUCUCUAUAUGAUCAGGUCUGGGUAGGGUAGGGUGUAAACAACAAAGGAAAUACCAUUUAAGCUAGACCGCCCAGAAUCAGACCUUUAAGUAUGAAAUCACUUGCAAUAAACCAGUGAAGGAAAAUUGAAAAGGGCAAGGAAGUGGGGAAAAGCCAAGCAAAGUAAGGGUGCAGGCAAAGUCCAACAAAGAGUCAAUUCACAUUAAUCUCUUUUUUAAAGAAAUAAUUUGAUUAAGAACAUUCUAUACUAUAUAUUUUAAUUAUUACAUUAUUUCUCAUUUCCCAAUUCUUCUUAGAGCCUCUCCCUUCCCUACCCAUCUCUCUCUCUCUCUCUCUCUCUCUCUCUCUCUCUCUUCUCUCUCUCUCUCCCCCUCUCCCUCUCCCUCUCCUUCUCCAUCUCCCUUCCCCUCUCCCUCUUCCUUCCCCUUUCCCUCUCCCUCUCCUUCUCCCUCUCCUUUCCCCUCUCCCUCUUCCUCUCCCUUAAAAUGAACAAACAAUCGUGUUUGGUUGUUGUUUCUUGUAGACCUGGCCCUUUCUGAAGGGAAAUGGAGGGGGAGUGGAUCUGGGGGCAAGGGGAGGUAGGAGGCAGAGCUGAGAGAAGUGGAGGGAGGGAAACUGUGUUUGGGAUGUAUCCUUUGGGAGAAGAGUGUUUUGACUUCAUUAGAAGAUACAUACACACACACACACACACACACACACACACACUCCCUCUGAACAACAAUAAUAAACCCAAACCAAACCAAACAAAAGAAGCACAAGAAACAAGCUACCAAACCACCACCACCACCACUGCCAAUAAUGACGGCAGCGUCAGUAAAAGAAGCCCAUAGAGUCCAUCUUGUGUUGGCCAACUGCUCCUGAGCACAAGGCUUGGGGAAAUGGGAUGGAGGCAGAGUGCACAGGUGUCCUGACUUACUGCCAGCAAGUGUGAGUUUCACAGGACUUCACCUGCAAGUCAGUAGUUAAAGGUGUCCAGGGGAUCAUAAUUUCUGAGGCAAUUUUAACUUCUCUUUGCAUGUCAAAGAACACACAAUGUGAGGGCAUCUGUAGAGAUCUGAAUUGAUCACUAAAGUGGCGCUUCCAAGAGGGGUUCUUCACAGGCACAGGUUAAACGAGCAGACUCCCAGGUCCUACGCCUUUGUCUAACUCCAAAUGCAAUAUCUCUUCUCGCUGUGGGAAACCUCUGCUUUAAGCGUUGCAGUGGGCUGAGGAUUCUAUCACUGCAGGCAGCAAAUCGGGACCAAGGAAACAGGAAGCCCAGCUCUCUAAGGAGGAAGAGCAGUGUCUUCUGAAAAUCAAGGAGCCCUGUAGUCAAAUUCAGUUGAAUUCUUAGUCUGGCCUUGGAAUUCUGUGCCUUGGAGACUCUACUUUGCCUUAUGAUGAAGUCUUCAUGGCUGUGCACUGUGUGACUCCAUUCACAGAGCUCUAGACAGUGUCUGUGUGCUUUGCCAACCGCUUCUCUAGAUUCUGGGGAUAGAGAGGGAAAAGAUGGGAUAAGUAGAAUUCCCAUAUCCACGGAGCUCAGGAGAUGUGAUGUCACCACCACAUACUGUGAUGUCAGAGCCUUUCUCCCUUCUCAGGUGAUGCCAGGUCUGUUGUUCUCCCCAUCUCCACGUGUGAACUCUUUAUCAGUAUUUGUUUUCAAUUUCAUGGACUUCCGGUGCAGCUCCUAUCAAAUGCUGUUGUAGACACCCCAUCACUAUGGAAAUGAGGACAAGAUGACACAGACAGAAUUUUCCACGAAUAACAGAGAUAUUGGGGGGGGAGGUGGGGUGCGUGUUAGUGACAUGCACAAAGCUAAAAGACUAUUUGAAAAUUGACAUGUAAAAUUCAGGAGAUAUUUUUUCAAAUGACACUAAAUAUUACAAUGAGGAGCUUUUUGCACUAAUGUAUUGACAUAUUUUUUUCAUGCUUGCCUUGUGUAACUCAAAUGUCGAGGACCGCAGCCCACAAGAUUGGGGACCUGGAAUCCUCUAAGAGAACCGAGGUCUUCGAAGACGCAUUUGCGCACCUUGGUCUAGCAGAGAACUGGCUUUGAUUUAGGAAGCCAAGGCUAACGGAGACUCACUUUGCUGGGAGCAACUUCCUUAGAGCUGACUUUCAGGAGCUGGGGAAGUUUCAGAGCUGUCCUGGCUUCUGCUGGCAGCUCUAAGAGGCUACCUGCUUGGUCUGCAGAUCCUGUUUUCUCCUGCCCGGUAUCUGCUCUGGUCACUCUGGUGAAUAGAAUGGCUCUGCCUCCUCCUUAGUGAACUAUUUUCAGUCAGUGAAUUUCCAAGGCUUUGACAUCACUCUCAUUUCCAAGGUGGAGCAUGCGAUUACGUGGUCAGAGUAGAUUCCGUAUUUCUGGCCUCAGUUCAGAGAGGAGAGUGGGAGUGAAGCCAGCUUCAGGAGGCUCAGUUUCUCAUACUGGGAAAACCCUACUCAUCUUUCAAGACCAUGAACGUGACUGCUCCUUAUUCUCUACUCCCAUAGAACAUGUGCUACUGGUUCACAGAGCCCAUCUCCAAAACCUCUCUCCUUUUUGUCUGUCUCCUUCUGGGCUGGGGAGUAUAGGGACAAAGGUUAUUUUUAGCUCAUUGUCAGUACAUCAGAGGGAAACUGCCCCAUGGUAGGAACCCAGGCAACACUGGUUGACUGAGGGGUGGGGUUGAGGACAGAGGCUUCUAUCUGGACAACUGGGAGGCUCUGGUUGAGUGCAGGGACAGGACCCAGGGCCCAGGUUUUGGUGACAUGACACUUUGAAUCUGAUCUCCAAAGGGCCUUAUUAAGAAAACAGUAAAGCUGAGAAUUAUGCCAGUGUCUCCAGCAGACUCCCAAGUCCCCAUUAAUGACUCUUAUAAUAGCUUUCCAUUGCUUCCUGUUUCCCUAAGAAAGUCUCACAUUGUCAUCCCGGCCUGUUAAACGUUCUGUGGGCCCAUUAUCAAAAUAGCAUUUUCAGCUUCAUUGAACACAUGUAGGAAAUGUUGUCGUGUUUAAAAGGAAAGAAAUAAAAAAAAAAAGCCCACAACUCUGAGAAUAAGCCCAGAUUGUAUUGGGGGUAAUUAUCUCUUCUCCAAUAGCUUUUUGGAAAAGAGGAUAUUUCUAAUUUUUGGAACGCUAAGCUGUACACGGAAAAGGCUAAAGUUGUCACCGAUUAGAUUAGUGACUCAACAAUUGAAACUUGACAUUCAAUUAAUUUCUCCUCCCCCCACCUUCUGCUCUGUGCUUCUCAGGACAACCUUUCUUCAUAGUAAUAAAGACAGAUUGCACACGGG